GACGAACGCUGGCGGCGUGCUUAACACAUGCAAGUCGAACGGAAAGGCCCUGCUCUUGUGGGGUGCUCGAGUGGCGAACGGGUGAGUAAAACGUGAGUAACCUGCCCUUGACUUUGGGAUAACUUCAGGAAACUGGGGCUAAUACCGGAUAGGAGCUCCUGCUGCAUGGUGGGGGUUGGAAAGUUUCGGCGGUUGGGGAUGGACUCGCGGCUUAUCAGCUUGUUGGUGGGGUAGUGGCUUACCAAGGCUUUGACGGGUAGCCGGCCUGAGAGGGUGACCGGCCACAUUGGGACUGAGAUACGGCCCAGACUCCUACGGGAGGCAGCAGUGGGGAAUAUUGCGCAAUGGGCGGAAGCCUGAUGCAGCAACGCCGCGUGCGGGAUGACGGCCUUCGGGUUGUAAACCGCUUUCGCCGGUGACGAAGCGUGAGUGACGGUAAUGGGUAAGGAAGCACCGGCUAACUACGUG
rnacentral:rRNA from 1 species